rnacentral:tRNA from 1 species
UCCGUUGUCUUCCAGCGGUUAGGAUAUCUGGCUUUCACCCAGGAGACCCGGGUUCAAUUCCCGGCAACGGAA